GGAAAAUGGUCCCUGGGGUCUGGAUGAUCAUCAUCGCUGAGCAUCGAGUUCCUUUUAUUGUGGACAAACAGGAUAUGACUCAUCAACAGAGGACAGUGUAAUAUCCCAAACAGAACAUCCCACAGGGUACUGACAGCAGCAGCAUUGGGAAGACUAGAUGACGUCACUGAGAUGUGAGAUGAUUCACUUGGACAAGCCUGGAGGACUAUAGAUGAAUUGACCAGCCACGCCAGCACACCGGGAGGCACAGGCUGAUCAUUUGUGCCAAGCACUAAGGACACCUGAAAAUGUUUGAUUUUAUGUUGAAUACUUGUUCCUGCAUUUACCAGUCACACCAGAGAAAACUCCCUUAUCUUGGACAUAAACAGAAUAGCCCAGACUAAAGGAUGGCAGGCAAGCUGUCUGGAUACCCAGUUACUUGACAUGAGUCUCAUUCAAGAAAAGAACUCUUGCUCCAACUCCCAAGUUUGAGUUCAGCUUCUUCUGCCUAUGACAUUCAGUUCACUUCAAGAUGACUUUUGUGGCCUUCUGUUAGUAGCUGCAUUUGACAACUGACCCGAACAGCCCCACACCUGUGUUUAGCCCAACUUCUUCUCUGGCCCCUAGAGACUGUUCCUAGACACCUGGGUCAGUGCUCUGUCUCUGUUCUCUGCAGC
rnacentral:lncRNA from 1 species